rnacentral:rRNA from 1 species
AUUGAACGCUGGCGGCAGGCUUAACACAUGCAAGUCGAGCGGUAGCACAGGGGAGCUUGCUCCCUGGGUGACGAGCGGCGGACGGGUGAGUAAUGUCUGGGAAACUGCCUGAUGGAGGGGGAUAACUACUGGAAACGGUAGCUAAUACCGCAUAACGUCGCAAGACCAAAGAGGGGGACCUUCGGGCCUCUUGCCAUCAGAUGUGCCCAGAUGGGAUUAGCUAGUAGGUGGGGUAAUGGCUCACCUAGGCGACGAUCCCUAGCUGGUCUGAGAGGAUGACCAGCCACACUGGAACUGAGACACGGUCCAGACUCCUACGGGAGGCAGCAGUGGGGAAUAUUGCACAAUGGGCACAAGCCUGAUGCAGCCAUGCCGCGUGUGUGAAGAAGGCCUUCGGGUUGUAAAGCACUUUCAGCGAGGAGGAAGGUGGUGAGCUUAAUACGUUCAUCAAUUGACGUUACUCGCAGAAGAAGCACCGGCUAACUCCGUG